UACACAUCGGUCCCUAAUAUUAAAGAAAAGAUGAAGAGUUGGUACCAUUGUUCUGAAGAUUUGAAGUAUUGGAAGAAGGCAUCUCAAUUGUUUGUCUGCUUGUAAACUUAUACCUGUAUCUAAGAAAACAAUCUUUGAAGGUAAGAUCAAAACUUAUCCUUCAUUGUGGAUCACUGCAAAUAUGGACACAAGGUACAUCAUUAGGCUUUUAUUACUCAAGUUCAGUCUGUAAUAUUUUCUGAUUGAUUUUUGUUCAUUUAUUUAAUUUUCAAAUUAAAUAUAAUUAACAUUCACUGCUUGCAAAUGAUG